GUACAUAUUUAUAAAUUACACUGACAGCGUUCUGCUCCGAGACACAGUUCAUAAUCCGCGAUCACCAUGUAUUUACAUUUUUAAUGCUCGAUUGCAAUGAAAGGUCAAAACUUUGUGGACAAAUUUGGGAGCGCGGACAACUCCGACAUAACUUAUAGCUAUGCUAUAUAUGGCUGACUAGCUAAGGUUUCUUCGACACGCACGCACGCAACUCAAAUAUACCACAAGGUCAAAUUUGGCAAAUUAGCAAACUAAAUUGCAUUACAAAUGAACAUUUCCUCGAAUAGUAGCCUAAAACAUUACUCUGAUCAUAUAAAAGCGAUUUCCCAGACAAUAAAUACGGCUUAGCAAACUAGGCCUCGGCGUUAACGGCGAUGUGGGCAACAGGCUAACAACUAACCAGGUCAUUCCAUAGUCUUGAUGGGAUUGCGGUUUGGGCUCUGGCAGUUCUAUUCCACGACUUUAUCCUUUUCCGGAGUCAUGCCUUCGUUGGUUCUGAUGUUUGGCUCAUAGCUAUCAAAUUAUGCAUGUGUAGAAUUUUUUUGAUCCACUGUAGAUCAUGUUCUCAGAUAGCAGCAACUAUAUUUGCUAUUUUAUGUUAACUUAUGCUGUAUUUUGUAUGGAAGGUGUAUUGCUCCCAUCAGGCUGAAUACAUUCAUAGUAUGUAUGUAUUCAUAUUUUUUGCAUACUUCUUACGGCAGUGGUGAGCAAACUUCAGCCCAUUUAGUGGUGUAAUCUGGCCCGUUUAGUAUUUACAGAAUUGUCCUAAAGACUGUAUUCAAUUUGCCUUUUUUUCUGAUAUACCCUGCAUUUCCAGUUGAUUCCACUGAUAUUCAUUUUUCACCUUUGCAACUGAAUUGAGCAUAGACCAACAGUGCUGAGUUGUUAUACAAGGACUGGACAGCUAAAUAUAUAUUUUUCACUGCAGUCUGAUCAAAGGCUGUAUGAAUUAUUUGCCAUGAAUCUGUAUGCGGUUUUCAAAGACACAAUUUUUCCACCAAGCCUGCAAUCAAUGCAAGAAAAGGUGAAUUCUGCUGAGAGAUUAGCAGUCAAUUUACAGGCUCAGCAAAAUAUCUGGGUGACCAGCAACAUCUUUCCCAAUAAAAUUGAAUGAAAGUUUU